UACGGGGGGGGCAAUCGUUGUUCGGAAUUACUGGGCGUAAAGGGCUCGUAGGCGGCCAACUAAGUCAUGCGUGAAAUCCCUCGGCUUAACCGGGGAACUGCGUCUGAUACUGGAUGGCUUGAGUUCGGGAGAGGGAUGCGGAAUUCCAGGUGUAGCGGUGAAAUGCGUAGAUAUCUGGAGGAACACCGGUGGCGAAGGCGGCAUCCUGGACCGAUACUGACGCUGAGGAGCGAAAGCGUGGGGAGCGAACAGG
rnacentral:rRNA from 1 species